GGGGCCUUAGCUCAGCUGGGAGAGCACCUGCCUUGCACGCAGGAGGUCAGCGGUUCGAUCCCGCUAGGCUCCA
rnacentral:tRNA from 3 species